GACCUGCGGAAGGAUCAUUACCGAGUUUUCGAGCUCCGGCUCGACUCUCCCACCCUUUGUGAACGUACCUCUGUUGCUUUGGCGGCUCCGGCCGCCAAAGGACCUUCAAACUCCAGUCAGUAAACGCAGACGUCUGAUAAACAAGUUAAUAAACUAAAACUUUCAACAACGGAUCUCUUGGUUCUGGCAUCGAUGAAGAACGCAGCGAAAUGCGAUAAGUAAUGUGAAUUGCAGAAUUCAGUGAAUCAUCGAAUCUUUGAACGCACAUUGCGCCCCUUGGUAUUCCGGGGGGCAUGCCUGUUCGAGCGUCAUUACAACCCUCAAGCUCUGCUUGGAAUUGGGCACCGUCCUCACUGCGGACGCGCCUCAAAGACCUCGGCGGUGGCUGUUCAGCCCUCAAGCGUAGUAGAAUACACCUCGCUUUGGAGCGGUUGGCGUCGCCCGCCGGACGAACCUUCUGAACUUUUCUCAAGGUUGACCUCGGAUCAGGUAGGGAUACCCGCUGAACUUAAGCAUAUCAAA
rnacentral:rRNA from 1 species